rnacentral:rRNA from 1 species
UACAGAGGGUGCAAACGUUGUUCGGAAUUACUGGGCGUAAAGCGUGUGUAGGUGGCUGCGAAAGUCGGAUGUGAAAGCCCUGGGCUCAACUCAGGAAGUGCACCCGAUACUGCGUAGCUCGAGUACCGGAGAGGUUGGUAGAAUUCUCGGUGUAGAGGUGAAAUUCGUAGAUAUCGAGAGGAAUACCUGUGGCGAAGGCGGCCAACUGGACGAGUACUGACACUGAGACACGAAAGCGUGGGGAGCAAACAGG